GCGUAAAGAGCUCGUACGUGGUUCGUCACGUCGGAUGUGAAAAUCUGGGGCUUAACCCCAGACCUGCAUUCGAUACGGGCGAGCUAGAGUGUGGUAGGGGAGACUGGAAUUCCUGGUGUAGCGGUGGAAUGCGCAGAUAUCAGGAGGAACACCAAUGGCGAAGGCAGGACUCUGGGCCAUUACUGACACUGAGGAGCGAAAGCGUGGGGAGCGAACAGGAUUAGAUACCCUGGUAGUCCACGCCGUAACCGGUGGGCACUAGUUGUGGGAACCUUCCACGGUCUCUGCGACGCAGCUAACGCAUUAAGUGCCCCGCCUGGGGAGUACGAUCGCAAGAUUAAAACUCAAAGGAAUUGACGGGGCCCCGCACAAGCAGCGGAGCAUGCGGCUUAAUUCGACGCAACGCGAAGAACCUUACCAAGGCUUGACAUAUACAGGAAUAUGGCAGAGAUGUCAUAGCCGCAAGGUCUGUAUACAGGUGGUGCAUGGUUGUCGUCAGCUCGUGUCGUGAGAUGUUGGGUUAAGUCCCGCAACGAGCGCAACCCUCGUUCUAUGUUGCCAGCGC
rnacentral:rRNA from 1 species